rnacentral:sRNA from 1 species
UGAGCUAGGUGGGCUCAGGUGCAGGGUAGCCAGGAUGAAGAGGAACAACAGCAAGGAGCCUGGUACAGGGAUGGGCCCCAGAGCACCUAGCACCUAACAAGUGGAUUUCCAUGCAGAAAGGAUUGUUGAUGACCCUCAUGACAGGUAUAGACAGAAUUAGAUCCAUACUCCA